rnacentral:rRNA from 1 species
UGGGGAAUCUUCCGCAAUGGGCGAAAGCCUGACGGAGCAACGCCGCGUGAGUGAAGACGGCCUUCGGGUUGUAAAGCUCUGUUAUAUGGGACGAACGGGUGUAUGGUCAAUACCCAUACGCCGUGACGGUACCGUAAGAGAAAGCCACGGCUAACUACGUGCCAGCAGCCGCGGUAAUACGUAGGUGGCAAGCGUUGUCCGGAAUCAUUGGGCGUAAAGGGCGCGCAGGCGGUUCGGUAAGUCGGUCUUAAAAGUGCGGGGCUUAACCCCGUG